UACGAAGGGGGCUAGCGUUGCUCGGAAUUACUGGGCGUAAAGGGCGCGUAGGCGGAUAUUUAAGUUAGAGGUGAAAGCCCAGGGCUCAACCCUGGAAUAGCCUUUAAUACUGGAUAUCUUGAGUUCGGGAGAGGUGAGUGGAACUCCGAGUGUAGAGGUGAAAUUCGUAGAUAAUUCGGAAGAACACCAGUGGCGAAGGCGACUUACUGGACACAUAUUGACG
rnacentral:rRNA from 1 species